rnacentral:lncRNA from 1 species
CAAUCAUCAAUUCGAAAUCCUGUUCAAAGUGAAAUCACAUUUGCAUGACAAACAACACAGCAUCUACCAAUUAGAAUCAUGUUUACUUGGCAGAAAGUAGAGCAUUUGUGAAACCAAACACCAGUGUUGCAGCCACAGAGGAGAACUGCAUUUUAUUCAUCUUUUUGGUACUAGCAUAAGACAUAAAAGGUACUCAACUGGUGUCUAAAGAAUGCACGAAUGUAUCGUUUAAUAAGUGACAAACACACAGAGGAAAGAACACAGAUUAGCUGUCUGCAGAAGGGUGAGAACAAGUGUCAAAAAGGAAAAAAUAAAAUAACAAAAAGAGUAGAUUAGUGGAAAUCCAUAUUACUCUCAAGCUGUAAAUUGAUCCAGCAAUGUAGGUCUCACCUCAAUUGGUCCUCCAUGGUAACUGCAAGAUUUGGGGUGGUAAGAAUGGUGGUGCAAAUGUGUGUAAAUAAAGUGUGUGUGUAUUUGAAUGUGUGCACUCUUUAAUUAAUUUAAUCUGGCUCACCCAACCUCUUCUACUUGAGUCCAAAAUCACAAAAGAGAAGUUAAUGGCCCUUCAUUAUCAGUCAUAUCAGACAGCAUAUGCAAUAGCUUUCUUGAAACUCAGUGCACUCUUUCCCUAACUAGGACCAUUAUCUUGUCCCUUAAUCUAUAACUAUGAAGGGGGAGAGAGUAGGUUCUGAUUUUCCUCUUCCGUUUGGCUGCUCACUUCUUUUUUUUUUUUUUU